rnacentral:rRNA from 1 species
AUUGAACGCUGGCGGCAGGCCUAACACAUGCAAGUCGAGCGGAUGAAGGGAGCUUGCUCCUGGAUUCAGCGGCGGACGGGUGAGUAAUGCCUAGGAAUCUGCCUGGUAGUGGGGGAUAACGUCCGGAAACGGGCGCUAAUACCGCAUACGUCCUGAGGGAGAAAGUGGGGGAUCUUCGGACCUCACGCUAUCAGAUGAGCCUAGGUCGGAUUAGCUAGUUGGUGGGGUAAAGGCCUACCAAGGCGACGAUCCGUAACUGGUCUGAGAGGAUGAUCAGUCACACUGGAACUGAGACACGGUCCAGACUCCUACGGGAGGCAGCAGUGGGGAAUAUUGGACAAUGGGCGAAAGCAUGAUCCAGCCAUGCCGCGUGUGUGAAGAAGGUCUUCGGAUUGUAAAGCACUUUAAGUUGGGAGGAAGGGCAGUAAGUUAAUACCUUGCUGUUUUGACGUUACCAACAGAAUAAGCACCGGCUAACUUCGUG